rnacentral:lncRNA from 1 species
AGAUAGAGGGGUGAACAGUCUGGCCCGAUACACCAGUCAGUUGAUUCUUCUCAUCAGCUCUUUACCCUGCAGGGCUUGAGCGUUGCUCUACUCUUCUGCACCUCACACCUACCAUCUGCUGAUGCUGCUAACUCCUUUUCCAGCAUGGGACAGGUACCACUAUUUUGGCUGUUUUGUACUUGCGGAGCAGAAAGAAUGCUAAAGCAGGAAUGCAGGUGAUUCUGAAAGUCGGCCUUGAAGGGAUCACCACUAGAUAUUUUCCCUUAUGGUCUCUGCAGGACAAUAGACCAAGGAGGUAAUGGUAAUAUUGCUCUGACUUUUACUGCUCUAACUUAAGGCCAAGUUAGAUUCCUGGAUUAAGAAGUCAAGCUUUUUACUGCACCCUAAAUUGAAUGGUAGGAGUACUUAUUUGACCAAUCAUUGUUUUGUAAAAGCAGAUCCUCAGUGCUGCAUUGUAGGACUAAAACCAGCAACAUGUCUAAUCCAUGGGUCAUCUUCUGAAAGAUCCCAGUGGCCUGGUGUUAUGGUUUGAAUUGUAUCCGCCCCCAGCUCCAAUUCAUAUAUGGAAGUCCUAAUCCCCAGUACAUAGAAUGUGACGUUAUUUGGAGCUAGGGUCUUCACAGACAUAAUCAAGUUAAAGUGAAGUAAUUAGAAUGAGCCCUAAUUUAAUACACCUGGUAUCCUUAUAAAGUGGAAAAUGUGGAGACAGGCAUCCACUUAGAGAGAACACCAUGUGAGGAUGAAGGCAAAGAUUAGGUGAUGCAUCUGUAAAUCAAAGAACACCAAAGAUUGGAGUGAGUUGGCAGAAGGUAAUAAGCAAAUAAACAAAGAACACCAGGGCCGGGCGCGGUGGCUCACGCCUAUAAUCCCAGCACUUUGGGAGGCCUAGGCGAGUGGAUCAUCCUGGUCAACAUGGUGAAACCCUGUCUCUACUAAAAAUACAAAAAAAAAAAUUACCUGGGCAUGGUGGCGCAUACCUGUAGUCCCAGCUACUUGGGAGGCUGAGGCGGGAGAACUGCUUGAACCCAGGAGGCGGAGGUUGCGGUGAGCCAAGAUCGCACCAUUGCACUCCAGCCUGGGUAACAAGAGCAAAACUCCAUCUCAAAAAAAAAAAAAAAAAAAUUGGAGAGAGACCUGGAGCCGAUUCUUUCUUGGAAGGAAUCAAAUAUGCCAACACUUAUCUUUUGGACAUCUAAUCUCCAGAGCUGUGAGACAAAAAUUCUAUUCAAGCCACUCAGUUUGUGGCACUUCGUUAAAGCA